rnacentral:misc_RNA from 1 species
UUUAUAUAUUGCUUGUUUCUCUGACUGUACAUAAUUCAAGAGUAUAUGACUCCGGCAAGCACGCACCGACGUCGAUUUCAACGUCAAUGGCUGUUUCCAACGUCUUGCCGAAGCAACGCGGGAUAAUCAAGGGUGGGAGUUCCUGCAGAACAGGAGAACUCGGUAAUGAUCCUUCCGCAGGUUCACCUGGAAUUUGUUAGCUUUGAAUGUUGAAGAUUGGAGCAGAAAGUUUACAUACCUACGGAAA